AACGAACGCUGGCGGCAGGCCUAACACAUGCAAGUCGAGCGAGACCUUCGGGUCUAGCGGCGGACGGGUGAGUAACGCGAGGGAACGUGCCCUUUUCUACGGAAUAGCCUCGGGAAACUGAGCGUAAUACCGUAUACGCCCUUUGGGGGAAAGAUUUAUCGGAGAAGGAUCGGCCCGCGUUGGAUUAGGUAGUUGGUGGGGUAAUGGCCUACCAAGCCUACGAUCCAUAGCUGGUUUGAGAGGAUGAUCAGCCACACUGGGACUGAGACACGGCCCAGACUCCUACGGGAGGCAGCAGUGGGGAAUCUUAGACAAUGGGGGCAACCCUGAUCUAGCCAUGCCGCGUGAGUGAUGAAGGCCUUAGGGUUGUAAAGCUCUUUCAGCUGGGAAGAUAAUGACGGUACCAGCAGAAGAAGCCCCGGCUAACUCCGUG
rnacentral:rRNA from 1 species